rnacentral:rRNA from 1 species
UAGGGAAUCUUCGGCAAUGGACGAAAGUCUGACCGAGCAACGCCGCGUGAGUGAAGAAGGUUUUCGGAUCGUAAAACUCUGUUGUUAGAGAAGAACAAGGACGUUAGUAACUGAACGUCCCCUGACGGUAUCUAACCAGAAAGCCACGGCUAACUACGUGCCAGCAGCCGCGGUAAUACGUAGGUGGCAAGCGUUGUCCGGAUUUACUGGGCGUAAAGCGCACGCAGGCGGUUUGUUAAGUCAGAUGUGAAAUCCUCGGGCUCAACCUGGGAACUGCAUCUGAUACUGGCAAGCUUGAGUCUCGUAGAGGGGGGUAGAAUUCCAGGUGUAGCGGUGAAAUGCGUAGAGAUCUGGAGGAAUACCGGUGGCGAAGGCGGCCCCCUGGACGAAGACUGACGCUCAGGUGCGAAAGCGUGGGGAGCAAACAGG